rnacentral:rRNA from 1 species
CCGUAGCCCAAGAGAUCGGGAUAACACCUGGAAACAGAUGCUAACACCGGAUAACAACAGAUGAUGCCUAUCAACUGUUUAAAAGAUGGUUCUGCUAUCACUCUUGGAUGGACCUGCGGUGCAUUAGCUAGUUGGUAGGGUAACGGCCUACCAAGGCGAUGAUGCAUAGCCGAGUUGAGAGACUGAUCGGCCACAUUGGGACUGAGACACGGCCCAAACUCCUACGGGAGGCAGCAGCA